AACGAACGCUGGCGGCAUGCCUAACGCAUGCAAGUCGAACGAGACCUUCGGGUCUAGUGGCGCACGGGUGCGUAACGCGUGGGAACCUGCCCUUAGGUUCGGAAUAACUCCCCGAAAGGGGUGCUAAUACCGGAUAAUGUCUUCGGACCAAAGAUUUAUCGCCUUUGGAUGGGCCCGCGUUGGAUUAGCUAGUUGGUAGGGUAAAAGCCUACCAAGGCGACGAUCCAUAGCUGGUCUGAGAGGAUGAUCAGCCACACUGGGACUGAGACACGGCCCAGACUCCUACGGGAGGCAGCAGUGGGGAAUAUUGGACAAUGGGCGAAAGCCUGAUCCAGCAAUGCCGGGUGAGUGAUGAAGGCCUUAGGGUUGUAAAGCUCUUUUACCCGGGAUGAUAAUGACAGUACCGGGAGAAUAAGCUCCGGCUAACUCCGUG
rnacentral:rRNA from 1 species